rnacentral:rRNA from 1 species
UGCAGUCGAGCGGUAGCACAGAGAGCUUGCUCUCGGGUGACGAGCGGCGGACGGGUGAGUAAUGUCUGGGAAACUGCCUGAUGGAGGGGGAUAACUACUGGAAACGGUAGCUAAUACCGCAUAACGUCGCAAGACCAAAGUGGGGGACCUUCGGGCCUCAUGCCAUCAGAUGUGCCCAGAUGGGAUUAGCUUGUUGGUGAGGUAACGGCUCACCAAGGCGACGAUCCCUAGCUGGUCUGAGAGGAUGACCAGCCACACUGGAACUGAGACACGGUCCAGACUCCUACGGGAGGCAGCAGUGGGGAAUAUUGCACAAUGGGCGCAAGCCUGAUGCAGCCAUGCCGCGUGUAUGAAGAAGGCCUUCGGGUUGUAAAGUACUUUCAGCGAGGAGGAAGGCAUUAAGGUUAAUAACCUUAGUGAUUGACGUUACUCGCAGAAGAAGCACCGGCUAACUCCGUGCCAGCAGCCGCGGUAAUACGGAGGGUGCAAGCGUUAAUCGGAAUUACUGGGCGUAAAGCGCACGCAGGCGGUCUGUCAAGUCGGAUGUGAAAUCCCCGGGCUCAACCUGGGAACUGCAUUCGAAACUGGCAGGCUAGAGUCUUGUAGAGGGGGGUAGAAUUCCAGGUGUAGCGGUGAAAUGCGUAGAGAUCUGGAGGAAUACCGGUGGCGAAAGCGGCCCCCUGGACAAAGACUGACGCUCAGGUGCGAAAGCGUGGGGAGCAAACGGGAUUAGAUACCCUGGGAGACCACGCUGGAAACGAUGUCGACUUU